rnacentral:rRNA from 1 species
UACGUAGGGGCCUAGCGUUGUCCGGAAUCACUGGGCGUAAAGGGCGCGUAGGCGGCUCGGUAAGUAGGGGGUGAAAUCCUGCGGCUUAACCGCAGGGCUGCCUUCUAAACUGUCGAGCUUGAGCACGGUAGAGGCAGAUGGAAUUCCCGGUGUAGCGGUGGAAUGCGUAGAGAUCGGGAAGAACAUCAGUGGCGAAGGCGGUCUGCUGGGCCGUUGCUGACGCUGAGGCGCGACAGCGUGGGGAGCAAACAGG